rnacentral:rRNA from 1 species
UACAGAGGUCCCAAGCGUUGUUCGGAUUCACUGGGCGUAAAGGGUGCGUAGGUGGUGAGGUAAGUCGGAUGUGAAAGCUCCGAGCUCAACUCGGAAAUGGCAUUGGAAACUACCUUGCUAGAGGGUUUGAGGGGGGCUGGAAUACUUGGUGUAGCAGUGAAAUGCGUAGAUAUCAAGUAGAACACCAGUGGCGAAGGCGAGUCCCUGGAAAACUCCUGACACUGAGGCACGAAAGCUAGGGGAGCAAACAGG